CCUUCGUUUCCUCGGCGGGUCCGCCCGCCGAUUGGACAACAUUCAAACCCUUUGCAGUUGCAAUCAGCGUCUGAAAAAACAUAAUAGUUACAACUUUCAACAACGGAUCUCUUGGUUCUGGCAUCGAUGAAGAACGCAGCGAAAUGCGAUAAGUAGUGUGAAUUGCAGAAUUCAGUGAAUCAUCGAAUCUUUGAACGCACAUUGCGCCCCUUGGUAUUCCAUGGGGCAUGCCUGUUCGAGCGUCAUUUGUACCUUCAAGCUCUGCUUGGUGUUGGGUGUUUGUCUCGCCUCUGCGUGUAGACUCGCCUUAAAACAAUUGGCAGCCGGCGUAUUGAUUUCGGAGCGCAGUACAUCUCGCGCUUUGCACUCAUAACGACGACGUCCAAAAGUACAUUUUUACACUCUUGACCUCGGAUCAGGUAGGGAUACCCGCUGAACUUAAGCAUAUCAAUAAGCAGGA
rnacentral:rRNA from 1 species